CAAAUACUCCCUCCGUCCGGAAAUACUUGUCAUCAAAAUGGAUAAAAGGAAAUGUAUCUAGACGUAUUUUAGUUUUAGAUACAUCUCGUUUUAUCCAUUUUGAUGACAAGUAUUUUCGGACGGAGGGAGUAGAAA
rnacentral:pre_miRNA from 1 species